GGAGGGGGCAAGCGUUGCUCGGAUUUACUGGGCGUAAAGGGUCCGCAGGCGGUUGAGCAAGUUAGAUGUGAAAGCUCAAGGCUUAACCUUGAAAAUGCAUCUAAAACUGCCCGACUAGAGUCCAAGAGGGGUCGGCGGAAUUCCCGGUGUAGCGGUGAAAUGCGUAGAUGUCGGGAGGAACACCAGUGGCGAAGGCGGCCGACUGGCUUGGAACUGACGCUCAGGGACGAAAGCGUGGGUAGCGAACCGGAUUAGAUACCCGGGGGUAGUCCACGCCCUAAACGAUGGAUGCUAGGUGCGGGGAUUUUAUCUCCCUUGCCGAAGCUAACGCAUUAAGCAUCCCGCCUGGGGAGUACGGUCGCAAGGCUG
rnacentral:rRNA from 1 species